UACGGAGGAUCCGAGCGUUAUCCGGAUUUAUUGGGUUUAAAGGGUGCGUAGGCGGCCUGUUAAGUCAGGGGUGAAAGACGGUAGCUCAACUAUCGCAGUGCCCUUGAUACUAUUGGUCUUGAAUGUUGUUGAGGUGGGCGGAACGGGUCAUGUAGCGGUGAAAUGCAUAGAUAUGACCCGGAACACCGAUUGCGAAGGCAGCCCGCUAAGCAACUAUUGACGCUGAGGCACGAAAGCGUGGGGAUCAAACAGG
rnacentral:rRNA from 1 species